UACGUAGGGAGCAGGCGUUGUCCGGAAUCAUUGGGCGUAAAGCGCGCGUAGGUGGCCACAUAAGUCCGUUGUGAAAGUCAAAGGCUCAACCUUUGAAAGCCGAUGGAUACUGUGUGGCUAGAGUACGGAAGAGGCGAGUGGAAUUCCUGGUGUAGCGGUGGAAUGCGCAGAUAUCAGGAGGAACACCAAUAGCGAAGGCAGCUCGCUGGGACGUUACUGACACUGAGGCGCGAAAGCGUGGGGAGCGAACAGG
rnacentral:rRNA from 1 species